ensembl:snRNA U6 U6 spliceosomal RNA
GUCCCUUCGGCUGUACAUAUACUAAAAUUGGAAUGAUAUAGAGAAGAUUAGCAGGGCCCCUGGGCAAGGAUAACAUGAAAACUCAUGGAGCAGUCCAUAUUUUA